UACGUAGGGGGCAAGCGUUGUCCGGAAUCAUUGGGCGUAAAGAGCUCGUAGGUGGUUUGCUGCGUCCGCUGUGAAAACCCAAGGCUUAACCUUGGGCUUGCAGUGGAUACGGGCAGACUAGAGGUAGGUAGGGGAGAAUGGAAUUCCCGGUGUAGCGGUGAAAUGCGCAGAUAUCGGGAGGAACACCGGUGGCGAAGGCGGUUCUCUGGGCCUUACCUGACACUGAGGAGCGAAAGCGUGGGGAGCGAACAGG
rnacentral:rRNA from 1 species